UCCAGACUCCUACGGGAGGCAGCAGUGAGGAAUAUUGGUCAAUGGCCGAGAGGCUGAACCAGCCAAGUCGCGUGAGGGAUGACGGCCCUACGGGUUGUAAACCUCUUUUGCCGGGGAGCAAAGAGCGGGACGCGUCCCGCCUCGAGAGUACCCGGAGAAAAAGCAUCGGCUAACUCCGUGCCAGCAGCCGCGGUAAUACGGAGGAUGCGAGCGUUAUCCGGAUUUAUUGGGUUUAAAGGGUGCGCAGGCGGAAGCGCAAGUCAGCGGUAAAAUUGAGAGGCUCAACCCCUUUAAGCCGUUGAAACUGGUGAUCUUGAGUGGGCGAGAAGUAUGCGGAAUGCGUGGUGUAGCGGUGAAAUGCAUAGAUAUCACGCAGAACUCCGAUUGCGAAGGCAGCAUACCGGCGCCCGACUGACGCUGAGGCACGAAAGCGUGGGGAUCGAACAGGAUUAGAUACCCCAGUAAG
rnacentral:rRNA from 1 species